rnacentral:rRNA from 1 species
GACGAACGCUGGCGGCGUGCUUAACACAUGCAAGUCGAACGGAAAGGCACUGCUUUUGUGGGGUGCUCGAGUGGCGAACGGGUGAGUAACACGUGAGUAACCUGCCCUUGACUUUGGGAUAACUUCAGGAAACUGGGGCUAAUCCCGGAUAGGAGCUCCUGCUGCAUGGUGGGGGUUGGAAAGUUUCGGCGGGUGGGGAUGGACGGGCGGCUUAUCAGCUUGUUGGUGGGGUAGUGGCUUGCCAAGGCUUUGACGGGUAGCCGGCCUGAGAGGGUGACCGGCCACAUUGGGACUGAGAUACGGACCAGACUCCUACGGGAGGCAGCAGUGGGGAAUAUUGCACAAUGGGCGGAAGCCUGAUGCAGCAACGCCGCGUGCGGGAUGACGGCCUUCGGGUUGUAAACCGCUUUCGCCUGUGACGAAGCGUGAGUGACGGUAAUGGGUAAAGAAGCACCGGCUAACUACGUG